GCUCCAUUCACAAGGCUUGGUUUGGGACAGGGAGUAGCUUCUGGGCCUGGGAACAGUCUGACCCAUCCCCACCCAAUCCGUUGCUAGGUGACCAACCUGAUGGAGCAAGCAGGCAGGCUGCAGGUCUGCUUCUCCUGGCCGGGCUCUGCAGGCAGCAGAAAGUUCCAGUCUGUUUCUGCCCAUUAUCUCAAUGACUGCACCGCAGAAACUUUUGCCUCAUAAAAAAAGAUCAGGAGCAGAACUACAUUGUUGUUCACUUGUACUGUGUCUUCAGCCAAGUGUCAUGGAAGAGAGAGUACCACCUUUAAUACCAUCAAAGAGACUGCCAAACCAGGGAUUUUUCUACCUCUCCAGCUAAAGAAUUCAGCAGCCCUCAGAGUAGAUGGUAUCUCUUCUUUUCUUCAGGGACUGUCCCGGUGAACACCUUUCCUCUGACUUCAACUGUGUGCAAAAUUUGCUUCUGUUAAGAGAGAAGAAAUAUGGCUACUGUUCUAACAUCUGUGAGAGCCCUGAGUAGCUUGUUGUAUGAGUUCAUCAGCAGG